CUGAUCUUAGUUUAUGUUUAGAAUGCAGGUUUUGGGGACCUUAGGUCUCUUUUUAAGAGAGGUUUGG
rnacentral:tRNA from 1 species